rnacentral:sRNA from 1 species
GGGGUGGAAAAAGUAUGUCGGCAAGUCAGCUGGUUUCCCAGUGCAGGACGCGCUGACAGCUCGAGUGAGCGGACUGCUCAGGACUUCGGAACUAGACGAGUUCUAUAGAAAUCCUGUCAAAGAAUAUGAAGAAAAACAGAGAAAGAUUCUGCAAUAGAGAGAGAGAAUUUGUAUAUAAAUUUAAAGUAGGAAGUCAGUGCUUAGAACUGAGAGUGCCACUCAGAUUUCCUGUUCAAGAGAAUGCCAGUCAUUUACAUGGACGUCUGAUGCUGCUGCACAGUUUACCGUGCUUUAUAGAAAAAGACUUAAAAGAAGCUCUGACUCAGUUUAUAGAAGAAGAAUCCCUGAGCGAUUAUGAUAGAGAUGCUGAAGCAUCCCUGGAAGCUGUGAAAUCAGGUGAAGUAGAUUUACAUCAGCUGGCAAGUACAUGGGCCAAAGCUUAUGCUGAGGUAAGAAAAUAGGUCAGAUUGUAAAUUUCAAGGAUAUUCUGGAUUUUGGUGAAAAUUUUUAAAAUGCUAUGGUAAUCCUGAAAUAGUUAUAAGAUCCUUUUUCUCCAUAUAC